rnacentral:rRNA from 1 species
GAUGAACGCUGGCGGCGUGCCUAAUACAUGCAAGUCGAGCGAAGUGGGGACGGGUGAGUAACACGUGGAUAACCUCCUAUAAGACGGGGAUAACUUCGGGAAACCGUAGCUAAACCGGAUACUUAUAGUUGGAUCCGCGCGGCAUUAGCUGGUGGGUAAGGUAACGGCUUACAAAGCCAACGAUGCAUAGCGGACCUGGGAGGGUGAUCGGCCACACGGGACUGGGACCACGGUCCAGACCCCUAGGGGAGGAAGAAGUGGGGAAUCUUCCGAAAUGGGCGAAAGCCUGACAGAGCAACGCCGCUGGAGUAAUGAAGGUCUUCGGAUCGUAAAACUCGGUUAUAAGGGAGGCGGUACCUAAUCAGAAAGCCACGGCUAACUACGUGCCAGCAGCCGCGGUAAUUC